UGGUGGAGGUGGCGGCUUCGGUGGCGGAGGUGGCGGCUUCGGUGGAGGCGGAGGCAGGGGCUUUGGAGGAGGACACGGUGGUGGCCAUGGCGGUUAUGGAGGCGGACGAGGGUUCGGAGGAGGUUAUGGCGGUAAUCGUGGUUUUGGUGGUCAUGGCCAUCACUAUGGGUAGGUGCUCGACUCUCCUAAUUCAUCAUUGGUGUGUGAGAGGACUACUAUUUCUAGAUCAUGCGACAUGUGAAAUUUUCAGACGAUAUGGAUUUGAAGAUACAAGAACUACUUGUGAUUUACUUUUUAGAUAUAAAUAAAUAGCGUUAUG